UGCGCACUGUUAAGACAGUUGAUGCCAUUACCUCAUGAGAUCAUGAUGUUAUUAAAGGGACUUUUUAGAAAAAAUAAAAGGCAAUCUUUUCCAGAUGUCUGGAGGUGGGCAGUUCACUGUGAAGGAGAACAAGGGGCCUUUCUGUGUUCCUUUUCUGUCAGAGUCUACUGCUUUCCUGGAAACCUCUCACUGUGGAGCCACUGGACGCUAUGCCUAACUUAGGCAACUUCGAAGGAGAGAAGCCCCAAGUAAGACGAUACCCCAAACCUGUGACGUCAUUCUGUCUCCCCGUCGUUCUUAAUAUCCGUGGAUCAACUCUACUGUAGCCUACUUCAUAAUGCUGGGACUCAGAGGCCUACAAACUACAUCUCCCAGGAUUCACUUCAGCUGGCUCCGAACUAGUUCCAGGGGACCCAACACCUGCUGCUGGCACAGCAUGCACGAGGUGCACGGACAUGCAUGGAGCAAAUCACCCGUACACAUAAAAAGAAAAUAAUGAACCCUUAAAAAGAAC